CUACGGGUUGCUGCAGUGGGGAAUAUUGCACAAUGGGGGAAACCCUGAUGCAGCAACGCCGCGUGGAGGAUGACGCAUUUCGGUGUGUAAACUCCUUUUAUAUAGGAAGAUAAUGACGGUACUAUAUGAAUAAGCACCGGCUAACUCCGUGCCAGCAGCCGCGGUAAUACGGAGGGUGCAAGCGUUACUCGGAAUCACUGGGCGUAAAGCGCGCGCAGGCGGCCCCUUAAGUUGGAUGUGAAAGCCUACGGCUUAACCGUAGAACUGCAUCCAAAACUGAGGGGCUAGAGUCUGGGAGGGGAAGAUGGAAUUAGUUGUGUAGGGGUAAAAUCCGUAGAGAUAACUAGGAAUACCAAAAGCGAAGGCGAUCUUCUGGAACAGUACUGACGCUGAGGCGCGAAAGCGUGGGGAGCAAACAGGAUUAGAUACCCUCGUAGUC
rnacentral:rRNA from 1 species